AGCGCAAGGAUCACUAUCCACACCAUCUAUUCAAAUCCUCAUCCAUACUUGAAAACGAUCCUGGCCUCAAAUUUCCAAAGCCCUCUCUCCUUCCCUUUUUGCCCUAGUUUCUUGAAACUAACACUCGCCUCUCUCUUUCCCUUCAUGCACAAAGAUGGAACUUGACGACUAAGAACCUGCGAUAAAGAACAAACGCUCUGAAGCAAUAGGAAACAAUUGGAGUGAAGAAUUUCAUGCUUUGCAAAAACCCAAUAGUUUAGGAAUUUUAUCCCUUUUGCAAGAAAAAGCUCUUCUUUUUUUUAUUUUGUGAUUCUUGACACGGGUUUGGUUCGAAGUUGCUUGUUUUGUUGGAGAUAUAGGGUUUAGACUUAUGUUCAUCGAGUUUCUUUUAAUUUAGUUAAAUUAUGUAAUACCCUUGUUCAAUUUCUUUUAAAUUAAUUAAGUAUAUUGCAUUUAUUUUGAAUUUCAAGUGGAUUUUAGAUCUGUUUUUUUGUAUUCCCUUCAAUUAAAGAUUUGGAGCUUAGCCGUUUUGAUUCAACAGUAAAGAAAAGAAAGAUGCUGAAGCUAGGAACACUAGGGUUCUGGUGUCGCUGCAGUUGCAUUUAACCCUACUUAUUGAAGAAUUGUGCACAAUGCUAUCAAGUUUUGGUGGGAGGCUGGUGGCUAUACACAGAGUGUUGUUUCACUAAAACAAUGUGAUCGCGGUUCCAGAUGCUAAUUUUCAUUCUCUCCCUUCCACUCGGCACAAACAACACUAUAUCCUUAGAUUAGAUAACAUGACUACUAGAAGGUACAAAUGUCAGGAGGCGAAAGCAUAUGUAAGAUUAUCACGUGAUAUGUUGGGAAAAGGAAUAAGUCAACCCCGGUAAAUAUUGGACAUAUUACACGUCGGACACUAAAUAGGGUGAUAUAGGUAUGUAUGUGUUUAUUAAAUAGCCUCUUGUUGGUCCCUUUUGCUUAAUAUAUAAAAGUUUGUUAAAAAAAUAUGUUUACUAAAUUUUAUGUCAUUUGCUGGGUUAUGUUUUAUUUGAAGUGAAAAUAAACUCUCAUUAUUUGGUUUCUUGGCAAAUUAUGAAAAGCCAAAUUCUUGGUGAUGGAAAAAAAUGGCAUAAAAAUUGUUAGUGAUAAAAUAGUAGAGCAAAAGUCCACAUACACCUGGCAAAUACUUAAAAAAAAAUUAGUAAUAAAAUAGCAUAGCAAAAGACUACAUGCACCUAGAUCAAAUAUCCAAAUUAUGAACUUAACGAUUUGACUCUUUGAAGUCGUCUGCAUAAUACCAAAUGAUGGACAUACCUAUCUUUUUUAGAUUUUGCUUUUUUACUAUAUUUUUACACCCGUCCAACUUUUAAAAAAAUUGCAAUUGUAACCCCUAGACUACAACUCUUACUUUUGCAAAUGCCAAUACAUUGUGUUUUACGAAAUGUCUUAGUCAUUGUGUUGUACACUUUGUGUCUACCUUUGUGAUUUACACUUUUUUUUUGUAAUUGUCUUUUACACACUGCGUUUUACGAAAUUGUGUUUUGUCUAACUAUAUGUUUCCACCCGUCGCGCGCCGCCGCAACGCGCGACAGGCAAAAUCCUAGUUUGUUGAAAACUAAAAUCUAAGUUGGAGAUGAAGUUUUCCACAAAAGCAUUCUAAACUCUACCGAGACUAUAGCAAGAGGAAGGGUCUAGAGCUUGGACCCAAAUGAUCUAGUUGGUGGUACAAAGAUUGAACCAGAAUGGUGUGAGGUAAACGCUCAAGUACCAAUAAAAAAUAUUAAAACUUGGUAAAACCAUAUGGUUUAUUUUCUACAAUUCAAGAUUGUAUUAGUGCAUCAUCCAUCGCAUGGCCCUAUCCAUUCAUCUCGGUAUGUAUUUGUUAAACUUGUGAUACAAAUAAUUUUAAUAUCAUGGAACUUAGUGCUUAUACAUGGAUGGUUUAUUUGUAGGUAGUUCAUGAGGAUUGAGGACGCAUGAUGACUCAAGAUUUUAUGCUUCUUUUUUCUUUAAUUGCUUUAAUUUCUUUGUUAAAUGUUAAGAUUUUAUGUCAGAUAAUGUUAUAACUUAUUUAUGGUUA